rnacentral:rRNA from 1 species
GGAGCGUUCUGUAAGCCUGCGAAGGUGUGCUGUGAGGCAUGCUGGAGGUAUCAGAAGUGCGAAUGCUGACAUAAGUAACGAUAAAGCGGGUGAAAAGCCCGCUCGCCGGAAGACCAAGGGUUCCUGUCCAACGUUAAUCGGGGCAGGGUGAGUCGACCCCUAAGGCGAGGCCGAAAGGCGUAGUCGAUGGGAAACAGGUUAAUAUUCCUGUACUUGGUGUUACUGCGAAGGGGGGACGGAGAAGGCUAUGUUGGCCGGGCGACGGUUGUCCCGGUUUAAGCGUGUAGGCUGGUUUUCCAGGCAAAUCCGGAAAAUCAAGGCUGAGGCGUGAUGACGAGGCACUACGGUGCUGAAGCAACAAAUGCCCUGCUUCCAGGAAAAGCCUCUAAGCAUCAGGUAACAUCAAAUCGUACCCCAAACCGACACAGGUGGUCAGGUAGAGAAUACCAAGGCGCUUGAGAGAACUCGGGUGAAGGAACUAGGCAAAAUGGUGCCGUAACUUCGGGAGAAGGCACGCUGAUAUGUAGGUGAAGUCCCUUGCGGAUGGAGCUGAAAUC